rnacentral:misc_RNA from 1 species
UGAUGGUCCCAGCAGUAUGCCUCCCUAUUCAAAUAAGAUUACAAGUCAGAAACCUUUUAAUUUACAUAAAGCCAUGCGCCCAGUUUCUUUUGCAUAGAAGUGGAAAUAUAAUAAAAUGCAUAACACACUUUAUGUAUCCGCAAUGAUUUACCAAUUAUAUAUCCAUAACUUUUUGUAGCAUCCAAGUUGCUUUACUGAUGCUUUGCAUUAGAGAUGCAAAGAAAGCAUACAUAUACCAUUCAAAUUAAAGAACUAAUGAAUCAUAUAGAAAGCGUUUUAGUUGGACGGUGAACGAAGAGAUUUCCUAA